UACGUAGGGGGCGAGCGUUGUCCGGAUUAUUGGGCGUAAAGAGCGUGUAGGCGGCCAGGUAGGUCUGCUGUGAAAACUCGAGGCUCAACCUCGAGACGUCGGCGGAACCAUCUGGCUAGAGUCCGGAAGAGGAGAGUGGAAUUCCUGGUGUAGCGGUGAAAUGCGCAGAUAUCGGGAAGAACACCCGUGGCGAAGGCGGCUCUC
rnacentral:rRNA from 1 species